GGCCCGGGGCCGCCCGCAUGCGAUAGUAGACCGGGCUCCGCACGGAUAGGAGCUGAUCCGACCCGAUUCUGUCUGAGGCCGGCUGGCGAGCGGCGGACGGGUGAGUAACGCCUGGGAAAUUGCCCUGAUGUGGGGGAUAACCAUUGGAAACGAUGGCUAAUACCGCAUAAUGCCUUCGGGCCAAAGAGGGGGACCUUCGGGCCUCUCGCGUCAGGAUAUGCCCAGGUGGGAUUAGCUAGUUGGUGAGGUAAUGGCUCACCAAGGCGACGAUCCCUAGCUGGUCUGAGAGGAUGAUCAGCCACACUGGAACUGAGACACGGUCCAGACUCCUACGGGAGGCAGCAGUGGGGAAUAUUGCACAAUGGGCGCAAGCCUGAUGCAGCCAUGCCGCGUGUGUGAAGAAGGCCUUCGGGUUGUAAAGCACUUUCAGCAGUGAGGAAGGCGGGUACGUUAAUAGCGUGCUCGUUUGACGUUAGCUGCAGAAGAAGCACCGGCUAACUCCGUGCCAGCAGCCGCGGUAAUACGGAGGGUGCGAGCGUUAAUCGGAAUUACUGGGCGUAAAGCGCAUGCAGGUGGUUCGUUAAGUCAGAUGUGAAAGCCCGGGGCUCAACCUCGGAACUGCAUUUGAAACUGGCGGACUAGAGUACUGUAGAGGGGGGGUAGAAUUUCAGGUGUAGCGGUGAGAUGCGUAGGAGAUCUGAAAGAAUACCGGUGGCGAAGGCGGCCCCCUGGACAGAUACUGACACUCAGAUGCGAAAGCGUGCGGAGCAAACAGGAUUAUAUACCCUGGUAGUGCGACGCCGUAAACGAUGGUCUACUUGGAGGUUGUGGCCUUGAGCCGUGGCUUUCGGAGCUAACGCGUUAAGUAGACCGCCUGGGGAGUACGGUCGCAAGAUUAAAACUCAAAUGAAUUGACGGGGGCCCGCACAAGCGGUGGAGCAUGUGGUUUAAUUCGAUGCAACGCGAAGAACCUUACCUACUCUUGACAUCCAGAGAAGCCAGCGGAGACGCAGGUGUGCCUUCGGGAGCUCUGAGACAGGUGCUGCAUGGCUGUCGUCAGCUCGUGUUGUGAAAUGUUGGGUUAAGUCCCGCAACGAGCGCAACCCUUAUCCUUGUUUGCCAGCGAGUAAUGUCGGGAACUCCAGGGAGACUGCCGGUGAUAAACCGGAGGAAGGUGGGGACGACGUCAAGUCAUCAUGGCCCUUACGAGUAGGGCUACACACGUGCUACAAUGGCGCAUACAGAGGGCAGCCAACUUGCGAAAGUGAGCGAAUCCCAAAAAGUGCGUCGUAGUCCGGAUUGGAGUCUGCAACUCGACUCCAUGAAGUCGGAAUCGCUAGUAAUCGUAGAUCAGAAUGCUACGGUGAAUACGUUCCCGGGCCUUGUACACACCGCCCGUCACACCAUGGGAGUGGGCUGCAAAAGAAGUCGGUGCGUAACCUUCGGCCCCCCCCCCUCCACUUAGUCCACCCGGUUU
rnacentral:rRNA from 1 species